rnacentral:rRNA from 1 species
ACAAUGGAGAGUUUGAUCCUGGCUCAGGAUGAACGCUAGCUACAGGCUUAACACAUGCAAGUCGAGGGGAAACGACAUCGAAAGCUUGCUUUUGAUGGGCGUCGACCGGCGCACGGGUGA